CAAAGUCGGGGGUCGCGCUGCCGCUUCAUGCCCGCGCACCGCACCCACCUGGGGCCGCCACCGACCGCGCAGGACUCGCCUCCUACCGCCACUCUGGCCUGGCCGAGAACUGGUGCUCCCCCGUCCGCAGACCCCGGGGCCGCUGUUGCUUUGCAUUGGGAAACCCGAGCCUGGCGCGGAGCUGAGGGGGCCAGGCCUUCGGAGGAAGUGUUGACCUCCGGGCUGAAGAGCAAGGGCCGUGCCACCUGCCGGGAGGGGAGUCUCAUCUCUGCAGCCUCCCUUGGCCAGGUCAGAGGAAGCAGCUUUGGGAAGGCGGACUGCGCGCUGGGAGACUCCACGCAUCGUAGGUGGGAAGCUGGCUGCCAGCCUAGCCUGCCCUCUCUUCUCCGCCCCACCGUCUCGCUUGGCUCUGGCACCUGCCUGGGAAGACCCACACCUCCGUCUGCAGUGCACCUUCUCUCUGGAGGCCCUGCCCCCCGCUCGGGGUCCCGCAUCCUUCCGUGGCCUUCAGAGAAUGGCCUGGGGCGCUCAUGGAACUCAUCUGUUUCGCCUGGGAUGCAGGCAGGCGGAAGUGGGGGUUUAAGUGGAGGCAGUGAGGGUGGGCGGCCCGGCCCAAACUGUGCCACCUUCCACCCCCUGCCCCUGGGAGAGCAGACACCGUCCACUCGGGCUCACAGUGCUAUCCGGGUGAGGACCUCCAUGGAGAGCUCCUCUUUGCCAAAGAAAAACAAAGUUGCAUUAGGUCGGCGAGCAGGCAGGGCGGCCUCUUCCCGGCUUUCCACCCACCAGGGAGGCCUCGGGUCCCUGGGACAGAGGUGGGGGACUCCAGCGCCCCUGGAGGAAGGGAGACUGAGGUGGGGAGGCGUCCAGGGCCUGAUUCGGGGGCACGGUGGUCUGUGCAACCGAGACCCUGCCCUGGGUUCCACCAGCACCUGCUCCUUUCCCCAGGUUGUAGUGACCACCAGGGGAGGUGCCGGGCGUGCAGGCUGCCACGGGAGGGGUGGGGAGGUGGGGAGUCGCUGCGGUGGGAGGGGGGGACCUAGGCCAGCCAGCUGAGGAUGUGUUGCUGCACUCCCAGGAGGGCAGUAUAUGUGGGUGAGGGUCCCCAUACAGGGUGGCACCCAGAAGCAUCCCUUCCAGAAUCGUCUCUGGUCUACCCUGAAGUCCCCAGGAAAAUGCCUUUGUCCUCCGCAGGUGUGAGCCACUAGGACUGACUGGACGCCAGGAUGGGGGUUUCAGAGAGGGAGGUGUCAAGUGGUUUGACUGUCGCCAGGUAUGAAGCACUUGCUGUGUGCCAGGCAGUUUCCCACACAGGACGGAGCUGGACCACCCUCACAGCCCCUGUCCUGCAGAUGCUGGCCUUGUGGAGGGAGGCGGGCAGCUAGCCCCAAAAGCACCUCUCAGAGGCGGGGACUUCAGGAAGGAUGGUCUGGAGCAGUGCUUUCUGGGCCCUCUGUGGCCAGAGCUGGCCCCGCUGCAGCUCACUUCUGCCUGCAGCCCAGACAUCCUCCUGGUCCUCCUGAUGCCCCUGGCCUCCACGGAGGAUGAGCGUCUCCAGCCCAGCCCUCCCCAUCUCCACCUCCUGCCCCCCUGACACACUGGGAGCCUCCUGAUCCGUGAACCCGCGCUGGCGGGAGUGGCUACUGACUGCUGAGAACCCCUGCCCGGGCUGUUCUCAUGUGGAAAGGAUUCGGGGAGCGGGCGAUGCUUAGCUCAAAGCAUGGAGACCAGCGCUGCCCUCUCCCCAGCGACAGGUGCACACCCAGAUCAUGGAUGUAUUGGGAACAGCUGUGACUCCUGCUGCUCAGCGUCUGUCACUCCAGGCUGGGAGCGGGUCCCCAAGCUUCCGGCUGGGCCCAUCCGUCUCCCCUCUCAGUGGCGGGUGGGGGGAGCGCCAACAGCACGCAUUUGCUCUCCGCACUUCUCAUCUGACAGUGGGCAGAGGGUCCUUCUGCAGCCCUGAAACAUCCCCGGGCAGGAACCCUGGGACUCCAAACAGCCAGGGAGAGGCUGCCAAGACCUGUGACCGUCCUUCCACACUCAACCUUGAGAUUUCAUGAGGCUCCUUGCCCGGAAUGUCCACGUUUGAAACCUCCCAACACUGAGCCCCAUUUCAAGUAUAACCAGGAGGGAAAAUGGUGCUUGAAAUAAGCAUGCUGCAAAGGAAAACCUGCUUUCUCGAAAAGGGCUCUGGUCGCUCAGGUCCUGACCUCCCCGGCCAGGAUGGAACGUUCCAGAGACCCAUUAGUGCCAAAAGCAAAUUAAAACACACCCUGUAAAAAUGUC